GCUGUGAGAGGCCGAGCAAAGGAAGGCUGUGAUAAUAGGGAUGCGGGCAAGGAGGGAAGCAUAAAACGGAUCCAGCCUUUUGUACAGGAGGCCAAGAUGGUGUGCGUUGUGCUCUCUCCUCCUAUUUCUCCCCAGAACAGUAACCUUGUGAGGUGAGCAGGAGCUGGGACUAGCAACGGGAGCUCACCCCG